UGACUUCAUCACUAACACAAUUGUCAUGAGUCAAGCAGUUUCCAUAGCAACGCCCUAGUACAGCUGUUUACCCGUAUAAAGUACUGCACCUACUUAGUUCCAUAUACAGACAGAUCACUAGAUUCCUAGGGCUCUGAUGGCUGGGAAGUAGCAAGCCAGGCGGGAAUUAUCCUGGCCUCCCUCUGUGGAGCAAGACCUGCAGGAUUAUUCUUUCCUCUUGUGGAAACUUUCAGUCAACAACUUCUUUCAUGAGCAGCAUGAACCCAGUUUCCUACGGAGUCAGAAAUUUGAUUAUCUUUGAAGCACAUGUUGGAUUUUUUCUCUACUCUCUGAAGCCAACCGAAGUUUUCCAAAGACUUAUGGAUGGAUAGUGCAGAGUGUUCUCCAACAAAAGCUUACAACACAGGAAAAUGACAAGAAAAUAAGAUUCUUAGCUCUGUAUCUUCAUCCCAUGAUGACUUAUCUAAUGCCAACAAACUUACAAAAAUUGUCAUGAUUUUGAGCUUACUCUCUUCCAGAGCACUGGGAAAAACAUCUGCCUUGCAAAUGGAUUCCUCCUCAUAGAGUUGGUCAUGCCAGGGCUAUCCUGUGCAGGGCCAGGAGCUGGACUUUGAUGAUCCCAGUGGGACCCUUCCAACUCAAGAUUUUCUAUGCUCAGCACUGUGGUCAUAAUCACACUCUAAAUAGCAGUACAGAAAAGAUUAAAUCAACUGAAGAAUAUAUAGUGUUAAUCAAAGGCUCAAGGCCAGUUUUUCAAUUAUCUAAACUGCCUCAUUUUCACAGACAUCGUCUAGGCUGCAAUUACUUAAAUGAAGUUGAGAGUAUUUAUAUAAUAUUGUGACAGGUUCAAGAACAACAGAGGAAAGUUUAGUUUUAUUCUAUAUAACGCAAAAUGUUUACAAUGUCUUUGAAAGGAGACUGCAAAUUGUUACUUUUAUGUGGCACUAUUUUAUUUUUUCAAAG